rnacentral:rRNA from 2 species
GACGAACCGUGCAAACGUUAUUCGGAAUCACUGGGCUUAAAGCGUGCGUAGGCGGCUGAGAAAGUUGGGUGUGAAAUCCCUCGGCUCAACCGAGGAAUUGCGCUCAAAACUACUUGGCUUGAGGGAGUUAGAGGUGAGCGGAACUAAUGGUGGAGCGGUGAAAUGCGUUGAUAUCAUUAGGAACACCGGUGGCGAAAGCGGCUCACUGGGACUCUUCUGACGCUGAGGCACGAAAGCUAGGGGAGCGAACGGG